UUAUGGCAAGUGUCAACGAGACCGGCCUCAGAGAUUCAGAUCAUUUUAGUUGAGCCCUUAAAAUUCAGAUUUAAAAUCACGUAAAAAAUCAACUAGGGAAAAUGUGAAGGAUGACUCUGAAAGUUUGAUUGUUUUGAGGCUAAUCGACCAUGAAGUGACGAAGUAAUUGAUGUUCCCUGUGGCUGUUAAAACAGUCUUUAUGAUCUAGAUUUUAUGUCUGUCAGAUUAAUCCCAUUCUGAUUUUUGUUUUGAAUGAGUGAGACUUUUAAUGUUCUGCAAUGCUUUUUACCAUUUUCAAUCUUAUCACUUAUUAAAAAUAAAUAAAUAAACCAGAAGCCAUAAGAAAACAAAUUUUUCCUCACUAAAGAGAAUAAAUAUUUCCCUUAAUCACACCAUGCCACCCCCUUCCAAAAAAAGAACCUUACUGAAACUCUCUCUCUCUCUCUCUCUCUCUCUCUCUCUCUCUCAACCUUUGUAACCGCAAGGUCCCAAAUUAUGAAUAUUUGAAGGCCCCCUACAGAGGCUGUGGUAUUUCCUACUUUCACUGAAAUCACAGUAGUGCAUAUUUUCAUACUUAUUUUUAAUCAUGAGAAACAAAGGACGCUCAGGUUUUACAUGCAUUACGUUUCCAUAACUCUGUUUUAUUGGCUCUUGCAUGUUUCAAAUUAACGCAAGUGGAUGUUUACUGAAGACUGAGGAAUUACGGCCAUCCCUAUGCAAUGAGAUGAUCUUUUGUUACAUCAUACUUUGGAAAAAUCUGCAAUGGUGCAUUUGGUAAUUCAGAACAGUGAAGUGGAAUAGACUUACAUAACGAAAACACUGCGCACAGCCGUUUGGUCUGAGAUGUAGAAGUAUAACGGUGGAUGAAUGCGGUCACUCCAUCCUCAUUUGGAGGCAGGACAAUGGAGUACGAAGUUGACAAUAUGUUGCAUCUGAUUUGGACUGUACGAUCUUAUAAAAUGGUAAUUGUAUGCUCCCCCCUUUUUUUUAAUCUCCACAUGCACGCUGAUUUAACACCAUUCUUGUUUAUCCAGAUUUUUGUGGUCAAAGAAGUAAGAAAAUAUAAAAAAUCUGACAAGUUCAUAGGGUUUCAAAACCAUAAUAUCGUGGUGGUUGGCCAGGUGGGUGUGUUCUUGUGAAAGCCAAAGAGCACAUGAUGCAUUCUGACAGCUGUGCAUCGAGAGAGAUAGAGAGAGAGAGCAAGACAAUCCGUAUAAAAGGGCGGAGCUCCAGAGAAAACUUCCUCUUCAAGCUGCUUCUUCAUUCGCUGUUCACAGUCUGGCUGGCAGUCAGUCCCCUGCAUUUAAAGACCAACUUUGGCUGCUAGAAAUGCUGUAUUUUCUCCAUGUUGAUAAACUUUGAAGGUCCUGCUGGUUUUUCCAUUCCAGUUGUGUUUGGACUUUGCCCUGGAGCAACUUUAACGGAGUCACUUUUCCUUUUCCUGAACAAACGUGCAAUUUCAGCAAGGUUGGUAGAUGCAUCCCAAACAUGUGUCUACCAUUGCCUUCUCACUCCUUACCAGUUUUCAAGUGGUUAGUGUAGUUUUAGUUCUCUUUAUCUACUUAUCAUGCUUUUAGAGCAGAACAUUUAAAGUUAUUAGUCUAAAACACUGUGUGAAUCGUUCGGGGGGCUGAUGAGUUGGGCUCAUUGUUUUGUGGAUCUGUUCUGAGUAAUGCAGGCUUUGGAUGGUUUCACUGAUGUUUCUUAUUUGGGGCAGAGUAGGUCCAGUUUAAACUAGCACAGUAUGUAUUUUCAGACAACAGAGUACUGUCACACGGUCGUGGUUCCCUGAAAGCAAAGUGAGAUGGACUUACAUUUGUUUAGGAUUGUGCCUAGGGCUAGAACCGUUCCCUUUCUCUUGCAUCAGCCAUAUUUGGUUCAUGGAAAAACAAACUCUUCUAGUGUUUGCUUUUAACCCUUGCUGUUUGAAGCAUGCAAAGGUGAUUUUCAAGGUUUGAAAGUUUUGUCAUUCAUCUAAUGCACAAUUUAAAGUCAGAAUGACAGUAAGUCAUUCGUUGGUGCACUGAUUAUGUUCCCAAUGCAUUCUGGAUGGGUGUUUAAAUGACUCGUGCUCUCUGUUCUACAGGUUCACUCUUGGCGUUACACAACCUUCAGGAUUAUUUUUAAGCUGUGUUGUGCACAAAUACCGCAGUGAUGAUCAUCAGACUCGGCAGACUGACACCUGGAUACUUCCGUCUCCUGCAGAGGCAGGUAGCAGGUGAGGUUCAGGCCCCAACUCACGACCGCUUGGUCAACCAGAUCGCCAUGAUGCUGGCCAUCAUGGGCCUCAGCCUGUCCUACUACAGUGCCAAACAGAUGAUGGAGAAGGUUCACCACGAACCCGCCCCGUGAAGAUGUGCUUGGAUUGACAUCAUCCGGAGGAGACGAAGCCUAACUGAAGAUGUUCAGACUCUGUCACAGUACCUUUCUCUAACCUCCAGGGACCACACACCGCAGGACAUCUGCUUAGGGGUUGCUUUAGUCUAGCUCUCAAUGGGAUCUGGAAGGGUUGACUUGAUGCAUGCAUCAGAGAGUCAGUCAAUAGGUUGCUUUAGGCAGAAAACUCAAGCUCCACCAAUGCAUGAGCAAACCAGGAGCUCAACUCUGAGUCAUAAUGUGUUUUAAGGUGAAGGACCUCUGUAUACGAGAUGUACCAAGCAACUAUUGAAAGCAGGUCCAAUGCACAAAUCCAUUUUUCCCAAAAGAAGAUGCUGUUGAAGAACAUCCAAAGCCUUGAGGGACUUCUAGUGAAGGUGCUGCUAUACACUAUACACUUUAGGAAAUUUACUACACAAACAAAACUUGAUAUUUUGAUUCUAACUUAAGUAAAUAUCUUCUCGUUUGUCCUGAUGAAUUUCUCAACUCUUUUAUAUGUUAAUGCCGACUUUGUGUGCAAUCGCAUGAGUUUGAAGCAGUUUGUUUUAGUGCAACCAAUCCGUAAUGUUGUUUCUAAGGCUUUUUUAUAAUAAUGUGAUUUGAUGCUGUAUGUGUACUGUAUGUUAUAUUUUUAAGACCCCAAGAUCAAAUAAAGCUGUGAAUAUUUUGAACAAGA